GGUCUUGUAUUCAUUUUGUGAUUAUAGAAUGCAAUUCUGUAGGGGUAAGUUGUGCUUAUCAAGGCCU
rnacentral:tRNA from 1 species